rnacentral:lncRNA from 1 species
GUACACACACACAGGGCUACAGGUACACACACACAUACACAGGGCUACAGGUACACACACACACACACACACAGGGCUACAGGUACACACACACACACACACACACACACACACACAGGGCUACAGGUACACACACACACACUCACAGGGCUACAGAUACACACACACACACACACACACACACACACACACACAGGGCUACAGUUACACACACACACACAGGGCUACAGGUACACACACACAGGGCUACAGGUACACACACACACACACAGGGCUACAGGUACACACACACACACAGGGCUACAGGUACACACACACACACACACACAGGGCUACAGGUACACACACACACACACACACACACACACAGGGCUACAGGUACACACACACACACACAUGCAGGGCUACAGGUACACACACACACACAGGGCUACAGGAAUACACACACACACACACACACACACACAGGGCUACAG